rnacentral:misc_RNA from 1 species
GGAAUUGCCAGGGCUAAAAAAUCCCAGUGCAAAUUUAUUUUGUUUGGAAAUCAGAAGGUCCCCUUCUCUGAUGGUUUGGUUGAUGAUGAUGGUGUCUGUGGAAAUACAAAAUGUGAAUGUGUGGAGUCCAAGUAACACAUAAUACAAAGAAAGUGUUUUAGCAGCCAUGACUUAUGGAUCUUUUCUAAAGCCGAAACGAACUUUAUUUUG